CUGGAUGAUGUGUGUGUGUGUGUGGGAUGAUGUGUGUGUGCUGGAUGAUGUGUGUGAGUGCUGGAUGAUGUGUGUGUGAGUGCUGGAUGAUGUGUGUGUGAGUGCUGGAUGAUGGGUGUUUGUGUGAGUGCUGGAUGAUGUGUGUGAGUGCUGGAUGAUGUGUGUGUGAGUGCUGGAUGAUGUGUGUGUGAGUGCUGGAUGAUGUGUGUGUGAG